CCUANGGGUGGCAGCAAUUAGGAAUCUUGCGCAAUGGGCGAAAGCCUGACGCAGCGACGCCGCGUGAAGGAUGAAGGCCUUCGGGUUGUAAACUUCUUUUAAGAGGGACGAAGAAAGUGACGGUACCUCUUGAAUAAGCCCCGGCUAACUACGUGCCAGCAGCCGCGGUAAUACGUAGGGGGCGAGCGUUGUCCGAAUUUACUGGGCGUAAAGCGCGCGUAGGCGGACUUUUAAGUCGGUGGUGAAAUCUCAGGGCUUAACCCUGAAACUGCCGCCGAAACUGGGAGUCUUGAGGUAUGGAGAGGGCAGUGGAAUUCCUGGUGUAGCGGUGAAAUGCGUAGAUAUCAGGAGGAACACCCGUGGCGAAGGCGGCUUCCUGGUCAUAUCCUGACGCUGAGGUGCGAAAGCCAGGGGAGCGAACGGGAUUAGAUACCCUUNUANUC
rnacentral:rRNA from 1 species